AAGCGGCUGUGGAGUGUAUAGAAGUGAGAAUGCCGGAAUGAGUAGCGCGAAUGCAGUGAGAAUCUGCAUGGCCGAAAGCCUCAGGUUUCUGGAGGAAGGUUCGUCCGCUCCAGGUUAGUCGGGAGCUAAGGUGAGGCCGGAAGGCGUAGCCGAUGCACAGACGGUAGAGAUUCCGUCACCACCAAAAGAGUUAAGCACAGGGACACAUAUGAAGUCUCAGAGCCGGGUGUUGGUUCCGGUAGAGAUCGAGGGAAAUUAGUACCGAAGUCUGAGAUGGAAGAUGGCGAGAAAAGCUGUGUGUAUUUCUGAGGUGCCCGUACCGCAAACCGACACAGGUAGGUAGGAAGAAGAUUCUAAGGCCAACGGGAGAAGGGUUGUUAAGGAACUCGGCAAAUUGACCCCGUAACUUCGGGAGAAGGGGUGCUCCAGAGAUGGAGCCGCAGAGAAUCGGCCCAAGCAACUGUUUACCAAAAACACAGGUUUGUGCUAAAUCGAAAGAUGACGUAUACGAGCUGACGCCUGCCCGGUGCUGGAAGGUUAAGAGGAGAUGUGCAAGCAUUGAAUCGAAGCCCCAGUGAACGGCGGCCGUAACUAUAACGGUCCUAAGGUAGCGAAAUUCCUUGUCAGGUAAGUUCUGACCCGCAUGAAAGGCGUAAUGAUUUGGGCACUGUCUCAACAGCCCGCCCGGCGAAAUUGUAGUACCGGUGAAGAUGCCGGUUACCCGCGACAAGACGGAAAGACCCCAUGGAGCUUUACUGUAGCCUAAUAUUGGGUUUCGAUGUUGCAUGCACAGGAUAGAUGGGACUCUGGGAAACCAAGGCUUUGGCUUUGGCGGAGAGGCCGUUGGGAUACCAUCCUUGCGAUAUUGGAAUUCUAACCUGCGGCUCUGAAUCGAGUCGGGGGACAUUGUUAGGUGGGCAGUUUGACUGGGGCGGUCGCCUCCUAAAGAGUAACGGAGGCGUUCAAAGGUUCGCUCAGCUUGAACGGAAAUCAAGCAAAAGAGUGCAAACGCAGAAGCGAGCCUAACUGCGAGACUGACGGGUCGAGCAGUAACGAAAGUUGGAGUUAGUGAUCCGGUGGUAUGUGAGUGGAAAUGCCAUCGCUCAACGGAUAAAAGUUACCCUGGGGAUAACAGGCUGAUCUCCCCCAAGAGUCCACAUCGACGGGGAGGUUUGGCACCUCGAUGUCGGCUCAUCGCAUCCUGGGGCUGUAUUCGGUCCCAAGGGUUUGGCUGUUCGCCAAUUAAAGCGGUACGCGAGCUGGGUUCAGAACGUCGUGAGACAGUUCGGUCCCUAUCUGUCGUGGGCGCAGGAUAUUUGAUGGGAGCUGUCCCUAGUACGAGAGGACCGGGACGGACGUACCUCUGGCGCACCAGUUGUUCCGCCAGGAGCAUAGCUGGGCAACUACGUACGGAUCGGAUAAACGCUGAAAGCAUCUAAGCGUGAAGCCGACCCAAAGAUAAGAUAUCCCACUGAUUGAAUCAGGUAAGAUCCCUUGUAGACUACGAGGUUGAUAGGCACGAUGUGUAAGUGGAG
rnacentral:rRNA from 1 species